UAAAAUACUCCUCUAUGAGGACAUGUGC
rnacentral:sRNA from 1 species